UGUAUGUAAUUGACUGAGAUUCAACUUUUAGAGAGAGAUUUUAAAAGUGUUUCCACCUUCAUGAAGCUAGAGUUUGAAAUGUAAACAUGUUAAAGACUUGGAAGAGGGGUAACUGUCGUGGUCUAUGUUUAGCUAUAUCUUUUUAGAGGUUUACAAUUUAUGCAAAGGUUUCCUGUAUUCUGUUAAUUCAGAGAUUAUACCCAUCGCCCAUGUCACCUGCCCAAUUCCAGCUCCCUCUCCUUGAAAUCACUGGGGUUAGGGGCUGAAGGAUGGAGGGAAUGUUUAUAGCUGAAAUCACUGAAAUGUAUUUUGCAAGGUUAAUAUCAGUGAGAUCUGUUCCUCUCUCUUGUUCGGACAUUUUCUCUGGGGAUCCCGCAGACAGAAAGGAGCAGGUGUUACCAUCUUGGGUUCCGAUCCCAACGGUGACUGUCUACACUAGUAAUUCUCAAACUGUGGGGCACGUCCUCCCAAUGGAGGCGCAGGAAUAUGUGAAGGGAGGCGUGACCUCUGGCUGGGACUCUUGAAGAAGGAACUGGCGUAUCUGGGAGGUGGGGAUAAAUGCUCAGGCUCUCAAAAGCCAGGUGGAGCAGCAGGGCAGAAAUCAGGGUGGCAAUGGGGUGCUAAGUCUGCUGUGAACAGUGAUAUUGACGAAUAUCACUUUUCACUCGGUCACCCUUACUUCUGUGCUGCUGCUGGAGGCCUUCAGAGCCGGGCGCAUCGCCAGCAGCGACUCUGCCUUUAGAGCUGGGUGGCCAUAUAUGUGCUUGUGAGGGCAGGGGCGUAAAUGACCACACACACAAAGAAGGGGGGGCCAAUGAAACACUUUUGAGAACCACUGGUCUACACUCUUAUGGUCACCACGAUUACAGAAGGAUAAAUCUUCUCCAAAGUAUGUCUUGUGAAGUAUCAUAGGAAAAGUCAUUGCCUGCUGAAUAUUAUUGUCCUGUUAAAAUGUGUCUAUCAGCGCUGUCCAUGGAGCUCUGAGAGUUUGCUGUAUGUUUGUUACAUGCUGGAAAGCUGGAAAACGCCCACAAAGUAGCUCUUUAGAGACAAUGGUACCUGCAGACCAGCUAGGUGCUAAGUGGCCAUUAAUUGCUUAGCUGGCCAUUCGCCAGCUGUGGAGCUGUGAACAAGAGAGUUACAAUUCCCCCCUGGAACUCUGACCUGGGAUAUUCUAUCUACUACCCAAGAUCCAUAAACCUGGAAAUCCUGGGCGCCCCAUCAUCUCAGGCAUUGGCACCCUGACAGGAGGAUUGUCUGGCUAUGUAGACUCCCUCCUCAGGCCCUACGCUACCAGCACUCCCAGCUACCUUCGAGACACCACUGACUUCCUGAGGAAACUUCAAUCCAUCGGUGAUCUUCCUGAUAACACCAUCCUGGCCACUAUGGAUGUAGAAGCCCUCUACACCAACAUUCCACACAAAGAUGGACAACAAGCCGUCAGGAACACUAUCCCCGAUAAUGUCACGGCUAACCUGGUGGCUGAACUUUGUGGCUUUGUCCUUACCCAUAACUAUUUCACAUUUGGGGACAAUGUAUACCUUCAGAUCAGCGGCACUGCUAUGGGUACCCGCAUGGCCCCACAGUAUGCCAACAUUUUUAUGGCUGAUUUAGAACAACGCUUCCUCAGCUCUCGUCCCCUAAAGCCCCUACUCUACUUGUGCUAUAUUGAUGACAUCUUCAUCAUCUGGACCCAUGGAAAAGAAGCCCUUGAGGAAUUCCACCAUGAUUUCAACAAUUUCCAUCCCACCACCAACCUCAGCCUGGUCCAGUCCACACAAGAGAUCCACUUCCUGGACACUACAGUGCUAAUAAACAAUGGUCACAUAAACACCACCCUAUACCGGAAACCUACUGACCGCUAUUCCUACCUGCAUGCCUCCAGCUUUCACCCUGACCACACCACACGAUCCAUCGUCUACAGCCAAGCUCUGCGAUACAACCGCAUUUGCUCCAACCCCUCAGACAGAGACAAACACCUACAAGAUCUCUGUCAAGCUUUCUUACAACUACAAUACCCACCUGCAGAAGUAAAGAAACAGAUUGAUAGAGCCAGAAGAGUUCCCAGAAGUUACCUACUACAGGACAGGCCUAACAAAGAAAAUAACAGAACGCCACUAGCCGUCACCUUCAGCCCCCAACUAAAACCCCUCCAACGCAUUAUUAAGGAUCUACAACCUAUCCUAAAGGAUGACCCAACACUCUCACAAAUCUUGGGAGACAGGCCAGUCCUUGCCUACAGACAGCCCCGCAACCUGAAGCAAAUACUCACCAACAACCACAUACCACACAACAGAACCACUAACCCAGGAACUUAUCCUUGCAACAAAGCCCGUUGCCAAUUGUGCCCACAUAUCUAUUCAGGGGACACCAUCACAGGGCCAAAUAACAUCAGCCACACUAUCAGAGGCUCGUUCACCUGCACGUCCAUCAAUGUGAUAUAUGCCAUCAUGUGCCAGCAAUGCCCCUCUGCCAUGUACAUUGGUCAAACUGGACAGUCUCUACGUAAAAGAAUAAAUGGACACAAAUCAGAUGUCAAGAAUUAUAACAUUCAUAAACCAGUCGGAGAACACUUCAAUCUCUCUGGUCACGCAAUCACAGACAUGAAGGUCGCUAUCUUAAAACAAAAAAACUUCAAAUCCAGACUCCAGCGAGAAACUGCUGAAUUGGAAUUCAUUUGCAAAUUAGAUACUAUUAAUUUAGGCUUAAAUAGAGACUGGGAGUGGCUAAGUCAUUAUGCAAGGCUGAGGAAUCAGGUCCACGUUUCACUAAAGAUCGGCCAGUCUUCCAGGGGACAGAGAAGGGAAAUGGCUGUGUUGGAGCCAGCUCAGAUGCCGGUGACCUUCGAGGAGGUGGCUAUUUAUUUCACCCAGGGGCAGGGGGCUCUGCUGGACCCCGCUCAGAGAGCCCUCUACAGGGACGUCAUGCAGGAGAACUAUGAGACGGUGACCUCGCUGGGAUUUCCCAUUCCCAAACCUGAGCUUAUCACCCAGCUGGAACAAGGGGAAGAGCUGUGGGUGUCCGAUCUCCAGGAUUUCAAGGACAGAAGGCUUCGGAGAUGCACCAGCACAGCAGGUGCUGAGCGAGGGAGUGAGAAGAAGGAGGGGAAUCAUCAUGAGACAGUUCCUGGGGAAGUGGAACCACAGGGGACCUUUUUGGGAAGAGCUGAAGGGAAUUUUUCCCCUUGCUGGAAUCAGGGAGAAGCCUGGAGAAAUUGGCACAGGUCAGAGAGGCUUCUGAUAAACCAACCCAGGAAGAAAGUGGAUGAAUCUGUGAAUGGUGCGGGAGGAGACGAGAAUCCCAGAGAGCAGCAGACAAAUCCCAAGGAAGAGACACCCUGGCACUGCCUUGAGUGUGGGAAAGGAUUCAUUGUGAGAUCACAACUUGUUACACAUCAGACAGUCCAUAUGGGAGAGAAACCAUUUCAAUGCUUGGACAGUGGGGAAAGCUUCAAUAAGCGCAGAGAUCUUAAUGACCAUGGGAGAAGCCACACUGUAGACAAGCCCAUUCAAUGCGUUGAAUGCAGGAAAUGUUUCAGUUCAAAGUCAGCACUAAAUUCACAUGAGAAAAGCCACACAGGAGAGAGACCUCAUAAAUGUUUAGACUGUGGGAAAAUUUUCACAUGGAGGUCGGCGCUUGUUAAUCAUCAGGCAGUCCACACAGGAGAGAGACCCCAUAAGUGCUUCGACUGUGGGAAAAGUUUCACAUGGAAGUCGGCGCUUGUUAAUCAUCAGGCAAUCCACACAGGAAAGAGACCCCAUAAGUGCUUCGACUGUGGGAAAAGUUUCAUAUGCAAGUCAUAUCUUGCUAAUCAUCAGGCAAUCCACACAGGAGAGAGACCCCACAAGUGCUUUGACUGUGGGAAAAGUUUCGUACGAAGGUCAAACCUUGUUCAACAUCAGGCAAUCCACACAGGAGAGAGACCCCACAAGUGUUUGGACUGUGGGAAAAAUUUCGUACAGCGGUCAACCCUUGUUAAACAUCAGGCAAUCCACACAGGAGAGAGACCCCACAAGUGCUUUGACUGUGGGAAAAGUUUCAAGCAGAAAUCAGUCCUUGUUCGUCAUCAGGCAAUCCACAGAGGAGAGAGACCCCACAAGUGCUUGGACUGUGGGAAAAGUUUCAUACGAAGGUCACGCCUUGUCCGUCAUCAGGCAAUCCACACAGAAGAGAGACCCCACAAGUGCAUUGACUGUGGGAAAAGUUUCAAGCAGAGGUCAGACCUUGUAAAACAUUGGGCAGUCCACACAGAAGAGAGACCCCACAAGUGCUUUGACUGUGGGAAAAGUUUCAAGCAGAGGUCAUACCUUGUAAAACAUUGGGCAGUCCACACAGAAGAGAGACCCCACAAGUGCUUUGACUGUGGGAAAAGUUUCAAGCAGAGUUCACACCUUCUUAAACAUCAGGCAACCCACAAACGAGAGAGACCCCACAAGUGCUUUGACUGUGGGAAAAGUUUCAUGCAGAGGUCACACCUUGUUGAACAUCAGGCAUACCACACAGGAGAGAGACCCCACAAAUGCUUGGAUUGUGGGAAAUGUUUCAUAACAAAGUCACACCUUGUUCAACAUCAGGCAAUCCACACAGGAGAGAGACCCCACAAAUGCUUGGAUUGUGGGAAAAGUUUCAUAACAAAGUCACACCUUGUUGAACAUCAGGCAAUCCACACAGGAGAGAGACCCCACAAGUGCUUGGAUUGUGGGAAAAGUUUCAUAACAAAGUCAUACCUUGUUCGUCAUCGGGCAGUCCACACAGAAGAGAGACCCCACAAGUGCUUUGACUGUGGGAAAAGUUUCAAGCAGAGAUCAGCGCUGGUUAAACAUCAGAGAAUCCACACAGGAGCGUGACUGUAUAAGUGCUUGGACUGUGGGAAAAGUUUCACAUGGAGAUCAGAUCUCGUUCAACAUGGAAGAAUCUAUACAAGAGAGAGACCCCCACAAGCGCUUAGACUGUGGGAAAAGUUUCAGACAGAGAUCAUAUCUCAUUAAAUAUGGGAGAAUCCACACAGGAUGGACGUGGUCCACUCCCAAUGACUGAUGAGGAGGGGUCAAUACCAACAAAGGGAAAAUUGCUUUUGUAGUGAGCCAGCCACUCCCAGUCCCUAUUUAGGCCCAAAUUGAUGGUGUUAAGUUUGCAAAUGAAUUGUAGCUCUGGAGUUUCUCUCUGAAGUCUGUGUUUGAAGUUUUUUGGUUGAAGGAUGGCUACUUUUAAAUCUGUUAUUGAAUGUCCAGGGAGAGUGAAAUGUUCUGCUACUGGCUUUUGUGUGUUACCGUUCCUGAUGUCGUAUUGGUGUCCAUUUAUUCUUUUACAUAGAGACUGUCCGGUCUGGCCAAUGUACGUGGCAGAGGGGCAUUGCUGGCCCAUGAUGGCAUACAUCACAUUGGUAGAUGUGCACGUGAAUGUGCCCCUGAUGGCGUGGCUGAUAUGGUUGGGUCCUAUGAUGGUGUCGCUAGAGUAGAUAUGGGGACAGAUUUGGCAAUGGAAUUUGUUGCAGGGAUUGGUUCCUGGGUUAGUGUUUCUGUGGUGUGGUGCUGGUGAGUAUUUGCUUCAGAUUGGGAGCUGUCUGUAAGCGAGGACUGGCCUGCCUCCCACGGUCUGUGAGAAUGAGGAAUCGUUUUCCAGGAUAGGUUGUAGAUCGUUGAUGAUGUGCUGGAGAGGUUUUAGUUGGGGGCUGUACAUGAUGGCCAGUGGUGUUCUGUUAUUUCCCUUGUUGGGCUAGUCCUGUAGAAGGUGACUUCUGGGUCUCCAUCUUGCUUUGUCAGUCUGUUUCCUCACUUCCCCAGGGGAGUAUUGUAGUUUUAAGAAUGCUUGAUAAAGAUCUUGUAGAUGUUUGUCUCUGCCUGAGGGAUUGGAGCAAAUGCGGUUGUAUCUUGGGGCAUGGCUGUAGACAAUGGAUCGUGUGAUGUGUCCUGGAUGGAAGCUGGAGGCAUGUAGGUAAGUAUAGAGGUCAAUAGGUUUCCAGUAUAGGGUGGUAUUUAUGUGACCAUCACUUAUUUGCACUAUAGUUUCCAGGAUCUCUUGUGUGGACUGGUCCAGGCUGAGGUCGAUGCUGGGGUGGAAAUUGUUGAAAUCCAGGUGGAAUUCUUCAAGGGCCUCCUUCCCAUGGGUCCAUAGGAUGAAGAUGUCAUCAAUGUAGCGCAAAUAGAGGAGGGGGCGCUAGGGGACGAGAGCUGAGGAAGCGUUGUUCUAAGUCAGCCAUAAAGAUGUUGGCAUGCUGUGGGGCCAUGCGGGUACCCAUAGCAGUCCCGCUGACUUGAAAGUAUAAAUUGUCCCCAGAUCUGAAAUGGUUGAGGGUGAGGACAAAGUCACAAAGCUCAGCCACCAGGUGUGCUGUGGCGUCAUCAGGGAUAAUGUUCUUGACAGCUUGUAGGCCAUCCUCAUGUGGAACAUUGGUGUAAAGAGCUUCUACAUCCAUGGUGGCCAGAAUGGUGUUUUCAGGAAGAUCACCAAUACGUUGUAGUUUCCUCAGGAACUUGGUGGUAUCUCGAAGAUAGCUGGGAGUGCUGGUAGCAUAGGGUGUGAGGAGAGAGUCCACAUCGCCAGAUAAUCCUGCUGUAAGAGUGCCGAUGCCUGAGAUGAUGGGGCGUCCAGGAUUUCCAGGUUUAUGGAUCUUGUGUAGCAGAUAGAAUACCCCUGGUCGGGGCUCUAGGGGUGUGUCUGUGUAGAUUUGUUCCUGUGCUGUAGCAGAGAGUUUCUUGAGCAGUUGGUGUAGUUUCUUUUGAUACUCCUUAGUGGGAUGGAGGACAGUGGCCUUUAGAAUGUGGUAGAAUCCUAGAAUAUGAGGGUUGGAAGGGACCUCAGGAGGUCAUCUAGUCCAACCCCCUGCUCAAAGCAGGACCAAUCUCCCAUUUUUGUCCCACAUCCCUAAAUGUCCCCCUCAAGGAUUGAACUCACAACCCUGGGUUUAGCAGGCCAAUGCUCAAACCACUGAGCUAUCCUUCCCCCCCAAAGGUACCACCUCCCUAGGUAACGCAUUCCAGUGUUUCAUCACCCUCCUAGUGAAAAAGAUUUUCCUAAUAUCCAACCUAAACCUCCCCCACUGCAACUUGAGACCAUUACUCCUUGUCCUGUCAUCCGCUACCACUGAGAAUAGUCUAGAUCCAUCCUCUUUGGAACCUCCUUUCAGGUAGUUGAAAGCAGCUAUCAAAUCUCCCCUCAUUCUUCUCUUCUGUAGACUAAAUAAUCCCAGAUCCCUCAGCCUCUCUUCGUAAGUCAUGUGUUCCAGUCCCCUAAUCAUUUUUGUUGCCCUCCGCUGGACUCUCUCCAAUAUUUCCACAUCCUUCUUGUAGUGUGGGGCCCAAAACUGGACACAGUACUCCAGAUGAGGCCUCACCAAUGUCGAAUAGAGGGGAACGAUCACGUCCCUCGAUCUGCUGCCAAUGCCCCUACUUAUUCAUCCCAAAAUGGCAUUGGCCUUCUUGGCUACAAGGGCACACUGUUGACUCAUAUCCAGCUUCUCAUCCACUGUCACCCCUAGGUCCUUUUCUGCAGAACUGCUGCCAAGACUUUCGGUCCCUAGUCUGUAGCGGUGCAUUGCAUUCUUCCGUCCUAAGUGCAGGACUCUGCACUUGUCCUUGUUGAACCUCAUCAGAUUUCUUUUGGCCCAAUCCUCCCAUUUGUCUAGGUCCCUCUGUAUCCUAUCGCUACCCUCCAGCGUAUCUACCGCUCCUCCCAGUUUAGUGUCGUCUGCAAACUUCCUGAGGGUGCAGUCCACACCAUCCUCCAGAUCAUUAAUGAAGAUAUUGAAGAAAAGCGGCUCCAGGACCGACCCUUGGGGCACUCCGCUUGAUACUGGCUGCCAACUAGACAUGGAGCCAUUGAUCACUACCUAUUGAGCCCAACAAUCUAGCCAAUUUUCUACCCACCUUAUAGUGCAUUUGUCCAGCCCAUACUUCUUUAACUUGCUGACAAGAAGACUGUGGGAGACAGUGUCAAAAGCUUUGCUGAAGUCAAGGAACACUACGUCCACUGCUUUCCCUUCAUCCACAGAACCAGUUAUCUUGUCAUAGGAAAGUUGUAGGAAAGUUGCCUGGCAGUCUCCUGUUCAUAAUUGUGAGGGGAAAUUAACCUAGUUAGCAUAUGUGACUCCAUUUUGGGUUUCCUCUCGGCCGUUAACUAGAAGUGAGCACAUCACGUACCAAGGAAGGAGGAUCCUUCCGAGUGGACAGCUGGACAGUUUCAAGAUAAGGGAAACAAAGGAGACAGGAACUAGCGGACAUGCCUGAAAUAGCUGCUAAUUCAGCGUUUUUGCAGGGGGAAGUUGGCUGCAGGGGAUUGGUGAUAGAUAAGGAGAAGGCCUGUUUGUUGGGUUAUGCGACCCGAGGCACACAGGCAGGAUGUUUUGCCAACAGUAUAUAAUCUUUGUGUAACCUGUAAUCGGGGUCCCGCUCUGCUUAAGAGAACGGUACCACCCUCGAGCGUAAUAAACCUACAAACGCUGA